rnacentral:rRNA from 1 species
UACGUAGGGUGCGAGCGUUGCCCGGAUUUAUUGGGCGUAAAGGGCGCGUAGGCGGCCACGCACGUCCGUUGUGAAAUCGCCCGGCUCAACUGGGCGGGGUCAGCGGAUACGGUGUGGCUCGAGCAAGCUAGGGGGCAAUGGAAUUCCCGGUGUAGUGGUGGAAUGCGUAGAUAUCGGGAGGAACACCAGUGGCGAAGGCGGUUGCCUGGAGCUUUGCUGACGCUGAUGCGCGAAAGCGUGGGGAGCGAACAGG